UUUCUUUCACCUUUUCACACGGAUUGUGAUCUGAACGGUUGAUAUUCAGCUCACACGGAUCAAGGGUUUUACUUUCAUUUGAUUUACUCUCACAAAACUUCAUCAACCCUUUUUCUCUCUCUUUCUCUCUCUCUGGCGACUCAUGAACAUAUCUUGUUAAAAUCCGCUGAUUAGGGUUCCGGCAGUGGGAUUCUCGAGCAGAUUGGUGGCAGACGAGCAUCCGGCUGUAGAUGGUGGUUUUCUGGUAGAUCUAAGUUUUAAACCCCCAGCCGCUCCUUUUCGUUCUCUCUCAAAGAUUCAGUCCAGAUCUGCCCUCACUUCGCGAUUCACCAUAAGCUAAGAGGAGACAUGAUAGAGGAGAAAGGGAGCCGACAAAGCCCUAGCUGUUGCAUCAGGCGGAGAUGAGUACUGGAGACCAACUUAGCGUUGUUGUGCCUCAGGAGCCUUAAUUUCAGUGCAAAUUAUACGAUUUCACUACUCAUUUAGUUAAUUUAUUAUGUGAUUCUGCUUUUCCUCAAGAUCUGUUGCGAUUUACUCACACCGAAAUAUGAAUUUUGUGUUGUUUUGUUUUUGGUAGUUAAAUUGAAGAAGUAGAUAUCAUGUUCCAUGCACUGAUGAACGAGAUAAACAUUAAUCUUGUGGCGUAUAAGACAAAAAGGAAGAACUACUAUGGAUGCCGACAAGAACCAUAUUACCAAAGACCAGUGCUUGGCGAGUGAGAAAAGACUCACAAGCGUUGUAUAGUCGUUUGGCUAAAGAAACAUGGAAAUCGUUUUGAGAUUGCUUGUUACAAGAACACGGUCCUCUCAUGGUGUCCUGGCGUGUAAGCAUCUUUAAAUCCACCUAUAUU